CGAAAUUCCUUGUCGGGUAAGUUCCGACCUGCACGAAUGGCGUAACGACUUCCCCACUGUCUCGACCAGGAGCUCGGCGAAAUUGCAGUACGAGUAAAGAUGCUCGUUAAGCGCAGAAGGACGAAAAGACCCCGGGACCUUUACUAUACCUUGGUAUUGGCAUUCGGUGUGGAUUGUGUAGCAUAGGCGGGAGGCCGAGAGGCGCGGUCGCCAGAUCGCGCGGAGCCGUAAGGUGAAAUACCGCUCUGUUCGCAUUGGAUGUCUAACCUCGAACAGUCAUCCUGUUCAGGGACAGUGCCUGGCGGGUAGUUUAACUGGGGCGGUUGCCUCCCAAAGAGUAACGGAGGCGCCCAAAGGUCCGCUCAGCCCGGUUGGCAAUCGGGUGGCGAGUGCAAGUGCACAAGCGGGCUUGACUGCGAGGACGACGGUCCGAGCAGGGACGAAAGUCGGGACUAGUGAUCCGGUGCCGGUGUACGGACGCGGCAUCGCUCAACGGAUAAAAGGUACCCCGGGGAUAACAGGCUGAUCAUUCCCAAGAGUCCAUAUCGACGGGAUGGUUUGGCACCUCGAUGUCGGCUCGUCGCAUCCUGGGGCUGGAGCAGGUCCCAAGGGUUCGGCUGUUCGCCGAUUAAAGCGGCACGCGAGCUGGGUUCAGAACGUCGUGAGACAGUUUGGUCUCUAUCCUCUGCGCUCGUUGGAAUGCUGAGGAGGCCUGCCCAUAGUACGAGAGGACCUGGGUGGACGGACCUCUGGUAUGCCGGUUGUCACGCCAGUGGCACGGCCGGUUGGCUACGUUCGGAAGGGAUAACCGCUGAAAGCAUCUAAGCGGGAAGCCUGCUCCAAGAUAAGCAUUCCGUGGAACCUUCGAGUUCCUGUAGUCCCCAUGCAGAACACGUGGUCGAUAGGCCGGACGUGGAAGCCCCGCGAGGGGUGGAGCCGACCGGUACUAACGGACGAAAGGCAACACUAA
rnacentral:rRNA from 1 species